CCGCUGCCAUGGCGGCCGAGCUGCCGUCCGUCCGUCCGUCACUCCUCGCGCCCGGAACCCUAGCUUGUGGCCAUAGCGACCGUACGCGCCUCUGGCAGGGAAGGAGCUACAGCACUCCAACACGCCGACAAGGGAGUCGCCAUGGGCGUGGAGGUGACGGCAGGAGGGCGCCAGCAUUGUCCUGCUCGAGGAGGAGGAGGGUGGUAUGGAUCCCUCCUCCCUUGCCGUCAUCACAAGAGGGGAGGGAGAACAGCCGGCCAUGGCAGCGGUCAUAUCCACGCUGGGAACAGGAGACCGACGCCAACGCCAUGAAGUUGCUUUGAUGUUCGUCAAGGUAAGACCCCAAUUCAUUUGUGUAUGUGCCUAUAAGAUGCCACCAACAGCGAGAUCUGGGAGAAAGAGGAGACAGAGAGGGAGAUGGGGUAGGAAGAAGAGAGAGUGGAAGUAUCUCCUUGGGACUUCCAUGGCUAGGCCUGUUAUUGCUAAGUUGGCAGCCCCUCACACUGUUGCACGCUGCUGCAUCUGUACUACCCCUAGCAGGUCCAAGUAGAGGAGUAGAGGACAUAAGGGUCAACUUUGCUGUGAUUUGUGUUUAUUCAUUCAGUGGAAGCUACUGUUUGACGGAAAUUGAGAGGAAGCAACGGAUGGAUGUUGCAGUAACUAUUUCCUCAGGGAUGGGAGGGCUUUAUAAUGCUAAUGAUGUUCCAGCUCAGAGAAGGCAAACUCACAAACAUAAGCCAGGGAGCUGCGAUGGCUAGGUGAAUAAAAAUGUUGGAGCAUGAUGAAUUGUAGGGAAUAGAGGAGCAUGAUGAAGUGUUUGGCUGCUGGCAAUGAAGACUAAAUUGUCCUCUUUACUUUGUUUGUUCAGUGAAUGUUGGAUUAGACAAGAAUGAUUUAUUCACGCUGGAUUUGUACAACUAUGAACUAUUUGUGCAAUCUUGUAUUUAAGCUUUGAAAUGAGAGGAUGAAAUGUUGGGUUUGAGCAAUGGUGUUGGAUGUUUUUUCUUGGUGUUGAAUUAUUGAUAUGAAUCGCUGCAAGUAGAAUUGUCGCACUA